GACGGAGGAUGCAAGUGUUAUCCGGAAUCACUGGGCGUAAAGCGUCUGUAGGUGGUCAAAUAAGUCAACUGUUAAAUCUUGAGGCUCAACCUCAAAAUCGCAGUCGAAGCUAUUAGACUAGAGUAUAGUAGGGGUAAAGGGAAUUUCCAGUGGAGCGGUGAAAUGCGUAGAUAUCGGUAGGAACACCAGUGGCGAAGGCGGUCUCCUGGGGCAUUCUUGACGCUGAGGCGCGAAAGCUGGGGGAGCAAACGGG
rnacentral:rRNA from 1 species